rnacentral:lncRNA from 1 species
AAAAAUAUGAGUGCCACUGUUGCAUCCUUAGGGAUAGCUUUCCCAGCUUGUCAUUGUUGUGUCACAGCUGGGAGGGAGUGUUGGUUGUUGUCACCCACACACACUGGCAGCUUGCAUAGCACCUUCUGGUGCCAGAAGCUGUGGCUCAUGAGGGAGCUUUCAUGUCAGAUCUAGCUUGGAUCCUGUGAGUCCUCUGCCUGAGUUCAUGAUGUCCUCAGCAGUAGGGACUUUACCUUCACCUACUGCAGGGUAACCAAGGGCCUACAGUGAUAAGAAAGUUUACUAUAUGUAUGGCUUAAAGUUUUAUUUCAACGCUAAAGGAUCUUCAAAUAAAUCUUCAUUUCAAAAAUGUAAGACUCAAGCCUAACAUGGAUAAAGCUGUGGAAUCCUAGUCUCAUAAAAGCUACAAACUUGUUGCAAAACUGUUAAGGAUAAUUAAGGCAUGCAAGUUAGUGCCCAGUUACCUUAUAAAUGAUAAGACUCUUUAAUGUGCUCAAAACUAUGUUCAUAGGCAUGUUAAGUGCAAAUGUAAUUCAUUCAGUGACAAGCUUUAUUUAGCCCCCUGUGUAUGUUUUCAAGGUUAAGUCUAAAGCAAAUGACUAAUAAGUAACAUUUCUUUUUAAUACCAUGUAUACUUAAUAGAUAAUGGUCAUUACACUCUUCAGAGAUCGGCUAAAUAUGGCACUUGAAGUGUUAAAUAGAAAAGGCUUUCUGUGAAAGACAGGGAUGCCAGCUCCUAGACCACCCUCAGUGCAAGAAGACAACAGAUGAUGGAGUACAGAUGAUUCUACUGGGACUGUGGUAACGCUAACCACUGGACAAGACUGUCCCAUGCCUCACCCACUGACAGGACCCUGCCCAAGCAGUGGACAAGCAGGACACUGGAGAGUUGAUUGACCUACUUUGCCUAAACAAGGC